GAGGAAAAGAAACUAACAAGGAUUCCCCUAGUAACGGCGAGUGAAGCGGGAUGAGCUCAAAUUUGUAAUCUGGUGGACUCAGUUCAUCCGAGUUGUAAUCUAUAGAAAAGUUUUCCGCGCCGGACCGUGUCUAAGUCCCUUGGAACAGGGUGUCAGAGAGGGUGAGAAUCCCGUGCUUGAUACGACCACCGGUGCUAUGUGAUACUUUUUCAACGAGUCGAGUUGUUUGGGAAUGCAGCUCAAAAUGGGUGGUAAAUUCCAUCUAAAGCUAAAUAUUGGCGAGAGACCGAUAGCGAACAAGUACCGUGAGGGAAAGAUGAAAAGCACUUUGGAAAGAGAGUUAAACAGUACGUGAAAUUGUUAAAAGGGAAACGAUUGAAGUCAGUCGUGCUCUCUGGGACUCAGCCGGUUCUUCCGGUGUAUUUCCCAGUGAGCGGGUCAACAUCAGUUUAGAUCGCUGGAUAAGGUCAUUAGGAAUGUGGCUCCCUCGGGAGUGUUAUAGCCUAGUGUCGCAUACAGUGGUUUAGACUGAGGAACGCAGCUCGCCUUUAUGGCCGGGGUUCGCCCACGUCCGAGCUUAGGAUGUUGACAUAAUGGCUUUAAACGACCCGU
rnacentral:rRNA from 1 species